rnacentral:lncRNA from 1 species
UGAUGGUUGUAGUAGUAGUAAUGAUGAUGGUAGUGAUAGCAGGUUAGUGAUGGUAGAUGUGGAAGUUGUAGUAAUGGCGAUGGUAGUGAUAGCAGUUUAGUGACGGUGGUGGUGGUAGUAGUAGUAAUGAUGAUGGUAGUGAUAGCAGUUUAGUGAUGGUGAUGGUAGUAGUAGUAAUGAUGUUGGUAGUGACAGCAGUUUAGUGAUGGUGGUGGUAGAAGUAAUAAUGAUGAUGGUAUUGAAAGCAGUUUAGUGAUGGUGGUGGUAGUAGUAGUAAUGAUGAUGGUAGUGAUAGCAGUUUAGUUAUGGUGGUGGUAGUA